rnacentral:rRNA from 3 species
CCGGGUUGCGGACAGUGUCUGGUGGGUAGUUUGACUGGGGCGGUCUCCUCCCAAAGAGUAACGGAGGAGCACGAAGGUUGGCUAAUCCUGGUCGGACAUCAGGAGGUUAGUGCAAUGGCAUAAGCCAGCUUGACUGCGAGCGUGACGGCGCGAGCAGGUGCGAAAGCAGGUCAUAGUGAUCCGGUGGUUCUGAAUGGAAGGGCCAUCGCUCAACGGAUAAAAGGUACUCCGGGGAUAACAGGCUGAUACCGCCCAAGAGUUCAUAUCGACGGCGGUGUUUGGCACCUCGAUGUCGGCUCAUCACAUCCUGGGGCUGAAGUAGGUCCCAAGGGUAUGGCUGUUCGCCAUUUAAAGUGGUACGCGAGCUGGGUUUAGAACGUCGUGAGACAGUUCGGUCCCUAUCUGCCGUGGGCGCUGGAGAAUUGAGGGGGGCUGCUCCUAGUACGAGAGGACCGGAGUGGACGCAUCACUGGUGUUCGGGUUGUCAUGCCAAUGGCACUGCCCGGUAGCUAAAUGCGGAAGAGAUAAGUGCUGAAAGCAUCUAAGCACGAAACUUGCCCCGAGAUGAGUUCUCCCUGAGACUUUAAGUCUCCUGAAGGAACGUUGAAGACGACGACGUUGAUAGGUCGGGUGUGUAAGCGCAGCGAUGCGUUGAGCUAACCGAUACUAAUGAACCGUGAGGCUUAACCUU